AUUUGAUGCUUGCAUUGAUGAAAGAUGAGCGGCGGACGGGUGAGUAACGCGUGGGUAACCUGCCCUAUACACAUGGAUAACAUACUGAAAAGUUUACUAAUACAUGAUAAUAUAUAUUUACGGCAUCGUAGAUAUAUCAAAGUGUUAGCGGUAUAGGAUGGACCCGCGUCUGAUUAGCUAGUUGGUGAGAUAACUGCCCACCAAGGCGACGAUCAGUAGCCGACCUGAGAGGGUGAUCGGCCACAUUGGAACUGAGACACGGUCCAAACUCCUACGGGAGGCAGCAGUGGGGAAUAUUGCACAAUGGGCGCAAGCCUGAUGCAGCAACGCCGCGUGAACGAUGAAGGUCUUCGGAUCGUAAAGUUCUGUUGCAGGGGAAGAUAAUGACGGUACCCUGUGAGGAAGCCCCGGCUAACUACGUGCCAGCAGCCGCGGUAAUACGUAGGGGGCUAGCGUUAUCCGGAUUUACUGGGCGUAAAGGGUGCGUAGGUGGUCUUUCAAGUCGGUGGUUAAAGGCUACGGCUCAACCGUAGUUAGCCUCCGAAACUGGAAGACUUGAGUGCAGGAGAGGAAAGUGGAAUUCCCAGUGUAGCGGUGAAAUGCGUAGAUAUUGGGAGGAACACCAGUAGCGAAGGCGGCUUUCUGGACUGCAACUGACACUGAGGCACGAAAGCGUGGGUAGCAAACAGGAUUAGAUACCCUGGUAGUCCACGCUGUAAACGAUGAGUACUAGGUGUCGGGGGUUACCCCCCUCGGUGCCGCAGCUAACGCAUUAAGUACUCCGCCUGGGGAGUACGCACGCAAGUGU
rnacentral:rRNA from 1 species